rnacentral:rRNA from 1 species
GACGAACGCUGGCGGCGUGCUUAACACAUGCAAGUCGAACGGAAAGGCCCUGCUUUUGUGGGGUGCUCGAGUGGCGAACGGGUGAGUAACACGUGAGUAACCUGCCCUUGACUUUGGGAUAACUUCAGGAAACUUGGGCUAAUACCGGAUAGGAGCUCCUGCUGCAUGGUGGGCGUUGGAAAGUUUCGGCGGUUGGGGAUGGACUCGCGGCUUAUCAGCUUGUUGGUGGGGUAGUGGCUUACCAAGGCUUUGACGGGUAGCCGGCCUGAGAGGGUGACCGGCCACAUUGGGACUGAGAUACGGCCCAGACUCCUACGGGAGGCAGCAGUGGGGAAUAUUGCACAAUGGGCGGAAGCCUGAUGCAGCAACGCCGCGUGCGGGAUGACGGCCUUCGGGUUGUAAACCGCUUUCGCCUGUGACGAAGCGUGAGUGACGGUAAUGGGUAAAGAAGCACCGGCUAACUACGUG